ensembl:lncRNA
AUUCUUCUACUUCUAUUCACACUGCGUGACUGCAGUUGCUAUUUAAUUCUAAUGUUUUCAGCUCUUCUUCAGCUGAAGGACCAUGCAGAGCACCAGGCCAGGAAGCAGCGAGCUGGAGUUCAUCACAUUCUCCCCCCUCGCUCACUUUAGUAACCUUGAUUUGGGCACAGUUAGCAAGCCAACCAGAGACUUGCAUCAUCUGACAGGGGGAUCUAUGCCAAAUACCUGGGAUAGAAGAUGCAUGAGGAAGCAGAGGAGAAGGACAGAUGAUGAAAGCUGCAGUCCUAAACGGCGAAAGCUGAUGGGAGAAGAAGGAGCAGAUGAGUAUCCAAGUCCUAAAGUGAGCCAAAGAUGGUCUGUGGACUCUACCACCACUUCCCCUCCUGAGACCAACCCGGUUCAGCUUCAGACUGAACCCAGAACAGAGAAGAUGGGUCUGCCCUUCACAUCCACUCCCUCUCCACUACCCAGAGUUCCCACAGAAGGCUCAGGCAUGGAGGUAGAGGCCACUCAGAGGAGACUGCAAGAGAUAGAAGACAGGAUAACUUUGAAGGAUGACAGCGAUGAAGAAGAGCUUGAUGUGGAACCGGCUCAGCGCAGACCAGUGCUGGUGAUGUCCGACAGCUUAAGGGAGGGGCUACAACGUGGGAUUGGUGACAUUCUACCCCAUACGGUAGCACAGUCAGUGAGCUGCUCUUGUAUGGAAUUGGUGUUGUGGCGCCCCCCUGAGGACCCUCUCACCCAGAGGCUGAAGGACUCUUUACAGAGACAGCAGCGCAAGCAGUUGGCAGUGAGCAGACAGACUCCCACCCCUGUACCGCCUAUCAGCAGCCCCCCACCCCAGCCCCAGUUCACAGCACCCAGUGAGCAGACUUUUAGCCCCCUGUUCAGCAGCCCAGCGCUCCUCAACUCUGGAGAGGAAGACAUGGAGCUAUAGAGGGAAAUCUCUGAGUAUUUCAUCUGAAACCUUUGCAUCCCAUGUGUGAAAAAAACCUUGAACUUUAUCAGUGCAAAUAAAGGAAUUACCAUAAGGAGCA